rnacentral:rRNA from 1 species
CCUACGGGGGGCUGCAGUGAGGAAUAUUGGUCAAUGGGCGCGAGCCUGAACCAGCCAAGUAGCGUGAAGGAUGACUGCCCUACGGGUUGUAAACUUCUUUUAUAAAGGAGUAAAGUGAGGCACGCGUGCCUUUUUGUAUGUACUUUAUGAAAAAGGAUCGGCUAACUCCGUGCCAGCAGCCGCGGUAAUACGGAGGAUCCGAGCGUUAUCCGGAUUUAUUGGGUUUAAAGGGAGCGUAGAUGGGUUGUUAAGUCAGUUGUGAAAGUUUGCGGCUCAACCGUAAAACUGCAAUUGAUACUGGCAGCCUUGAGUACAGUAGAGGUAGGCGGAAUUCGUGGUGUAGCGGUGAAAUGCUUAGAUAUCACGAAGAACUCCGAUUGCGAAGGCAGCUUACUAAACUGCCACUGACAUUGAUGCUCGAAAGUGUGGGUAUCAAACAGGAUUAGAUACCCUGGUAGUC